AAUGGGUCAGCGACUUAUAUUCUGUAGCAAGGUUAACCGUAUAGGGGAGCCGCAGGGAAACCGAGUCUUAAUUGGGCGUUAAGUUGCAGGGUAUAGACCCGAAACCCGGUGAUCUAGCCAUGGGCAGGUUGAAGGUUGGGUAACACUAACUGGAGGACCGAACCGACUAAUGUUGAAAAAUUAGCGGAUGACCUGUGGCUGGGGGUGAAAGGCCAAUCAAACCGGGAGAUAGCUGGUUCUCCCCGAAAGCUAUUUAGGUAGCGCCUCGUGAAUUCAUCUCCGGGGGUAGAGCACUGUUUCGGCUAGGGGGCCAUCCCGGCUUACCAACCCGAUGCAAACUGCGAAUACCGGAGAAUGUUAUCACGGGAGACACACGGCGGGUGCUAACGUCCGUCGUGAAGAGGGAAACAACCCAGACCGCCAGCUAAGGUCCCAAAGUCAUGGUUAAGUGGGAAACGAUGUGGGAAGGCCCAGACAGCCAGGAUGUUGGCUUAGAAGCAGCCAUCAUUUAAAGAAAGCGUAAUAGCUCACUGGUCGAGUCGGCCUGCGCGGAAGAUGUAACGGGGCUAAACCAUGCACCGAAGCUGCGGCAGCGACGCUUAUGCGUUGCUGGGUAGGGGAGCGUUCUGUAAGCCUGCGAAGGUGGCCUGUGAGGGUUGCUGGAGGUAUCAGAAGUGCGAAUGCUGACAUAAGUAACGAUAAAGCGGGUGAAAAGCCCGCUCGCCGGAAGACCAAGGGUUCCUGUCCAACGUUAAUCGGGGCAGGGUGAGUCGACCCCUAAGGCGAGGCCGAAAGGCGUAGUCGAUGGGAAACGGGUUAAUAUUCCCGUACUUGGUGUUACUGCGAAGGGGGGACGGAGAAGGCUAUGUUGGCCGGGCGACGGUUGUCCCGGUUUAAGCGUGUAGGUGUGUGUUCCAGGUAAAUCCGGUUCACUUUAACACUGAGGCGUGACGACGAGGCACUACGGUGCUGAAGCAACAAAUGCCCUGCUUCCAGGAAAAGCCUCUAAGCAUCAGGUAACAUCAAAUCGUACCCCAAACCGACACAGGUGGUCAGGUAGAGAAUACCAAGGCGCUUGAGAGAACUCGGGUGAAGGAACUAGGCAAAAUGGUGCCGUAACUUCGGGAGAAGGCACGCUGACACGUAGGUGAAGUGAUUUACUCAUGGAGCUGAAGUCAGUCGAAGAUACCAGCUGGCUGCAACUGUUUAUUAAAAACACAGCACUGUGCAAACACGAAAGUGGACGUAUACGGUGUGACGCCUGCCCGGUGCCGGAAGGUUAAUUGAUGGGGUCAGCGCAAGCGAAGCUCCUGAUCGAAGCCCCGGUAAACGGCGGCCGUAACUAUAACGGUCCUAAGGUAGCGAAAUUCCUUGUCGGGUAAGUUCCGACCUGCACGAAUGGCGUAAUGAUGGCCAGGCUGUCUCCACCCGAGACUCAGUGAAAUUGAACUCGCUGUGAAGAUGCAGUGUACCCGCGGCAAGACGGAAAGACCCCGUGAACCUUUACUAUAGCUUGACACUGAACACUGGUCCUUGAUGUGUAGGAUAGGUGGGAGGCUUUGAAGUGUGGACGCCAGUCUGCAUGGAGCCAUCCUUGAAAUACCACCCUUUAAUGGCUGGUGUUCUAACGUAGACCCGUAAUCCGGGUUGCGGACAGUGUCUGGUGGGUAGUUUGACUGGGGCGGUCUCCUCCUAAAGAGUAACGGAGGAGCACGAAGGUUGGCUAAUCCUGGUCGGACAUCAGGAGGUUAGUGCAAUGGCAUAAGCCAGCUUGACUGCGAGCGUGACGGCGCGAGCAGGUGCGAAAGCAGGUCAUAGUGAUCCGGUGGUUCUGAAUGGAAGGGCCAUCGCUCAACGGAUAAAAGGUACUCCGGGGAUAACAGGCUGAUACCGCCCAAGAGUUCAUAUCGACGGCGGUGUUUGGCACCUCGAUGUCGGCUCAUCACAUCCUGGGGCUGAAGUAGGUCCCAAGGGUAUGGCUGUUCGCCAUUUAAAGUGGUACGCGAGCUGGGUUUAGAACGUCGUGAGACAGUUCGGUCCCUAUCUGCCGUGGGCGCUGGAGAACUGAGGGGGGCUGCUCCUAGUACGAGAGGACCGGAGUGGACGCAUCACUGGUGUUCGGGUUGUCAUGCCAAUGGCACUGCCCGGUAGCUAAAUGCGGAAGAGAUAAGUGCUGAAAGCAUCUAAGCACGAAACUUGCCCCGAGAUGAGUUCUCCCUGAGACUUAGAGUCUCCUGAAGGAACGUUGAAGACGACGACGUUGAUAGGCCGGGUGUGUAAGCGCAGCGAUGCGUUGAGCUAACCGGUACUAAUGAACCGUGAGGCUUAACC
rnacentral:rRNA from 1 species